rnacentral:lncRNA from 1 species
UCUUUGUCUUUAUUUUUAGGAAAUAGAGCCAGCUAGCAGCAGUCAAGGUGAAGUGGGCAAGGCGGUCCAGUCGCGUUUCGUCGAGACCCCGUCGCCAGCCGGCUGGCACGCCUGCUUCGCCGCUCCCGUGAGCCCUGUGGAAGUGUCACAGGGACCGCGUGACGGAGCCUUUUCCACGUAAAGGGGCCGUGUAGCUGGCCUUCAGGAAGGGGCCGAGGGCUUCCCGUGAGUUGGGGAUGUCGGGAGGAGGAGCGAGGGCCUGUUCAAGUCUCAGCAAUGCCACAUCACUUUUUCUUCUCUUAACUCAGGCGUGCCCUGUGAUGACAGUGUCUGGUCCCGGCGUGGCCGUAUCGUGCGGCCUCAGGACACGGCUGUUCGCAGGACACCCUGACGGAGAGACGACAGCCUGGCGAUGGCAGGAACUUCCCAGAUAGCCAGGCGGCCUUCCUUGGCGCUCCGUGUGGAUCCUCCCCAGCGGGCAUCCGAGAGCUGAGUCAAAGGCUACGACCCGCAGAGGGGAUGAAAGCGGGGUGCCGGGUCGGGACUUGUGACCUGGGAUUUUUGAGUCAGCUUUGGGGACGGGGAGGUCCAGGCUGUGGCCCCUUAGGCCACAUGGUGGCAGAGCCUCACUUUUGUUCACAGUGCUGAGGUGUGCAGGACAGAGCAGCCUCGGGGUGCGUCGUGUCACUUGUCCAUCGUGCCUUCUGUGUUUUUUGUGCCUCUUGUGUUGUAUGUGCCUUCCCUUAUCCCUUCUGGGGGCUUACUAGAAACCCCAGUGUCACUCAUAGCAUCUCUGAUCUCUGGGCUCCUCGGCCCGACGCCAUUGAAGCUUUGCCUCAGGAGCUCUCAGAGGCCUUGGAAUCGCAUCUGUUUUGAAAAGCAUCCGAUCGGAUGUCUUUUAGACGUCUUGUUCCGAGCUGUGUCAACAGCCGUGCACCGCGAGGAUCCAUUGUUGCGGCUUAGGACUUGAAGAAACGCAAAGAUAGGUAGAGGAUUGCUGCCAUAAGAUUCUUGGGCCUCCGUCUUGGCGGUUCCUGGAGUUUGUCAUUCCGUCAGCAUCUUCUUCCUCCCGGGUUCUGCGAGCUUCAUCAGCUCGCCUUCAUUCUCACCCGGCUCAUCUCGUUCUGCAUUCUCUCAGUCCUUGCGGCCGUUCUUGUGGCCCAGAGUUUUGUCUCCCCAUUGUGUCCCCUCGUCUGUUGUCUGGUGUGUCACGGGUGUCUGGGUGUAGUUGUCCCGGAGCUGCUCUGCCCUGCUGCCCAGCCUGGCUGUAGGUGUAAAAGGCCAAGUCCCAGGCCCCUGUAAUUUGAAAUUUGUGAUGUAGGGUGGAGUUGGGGUCUAGAACAUAUUCCUAGAUCAACACAAGAUGUCUGGAGCUGUGAAGUUCCCCUGCAGCACUUUGACUUUUGUCUCAGCUUUCUUUCAGAUGCGGACGGA